rnacentral:pre_miRNA from 1 species
AAUCUACUCCCUCUGUCCGGAAAUAUUUGUCGGAGAAAUGGAUGUAUCUAGACGUAUUUUAGUUCUAGAUACAUCCAUUUUUAUGCAUUUCUCCGACAAGUAUUUCCGGACAGAGGGAGUACUAG